GCUCUCUGCUGCUCUGGGCCUGCCUCGGUGUCCCUGUCUGUAUAGCCAGGGGCGCCGGAGCCUGCAGCCUAGGGAGGCCAUGCCCAAGGCCCCCACCAGGCACAGACCAACCUGCCUGCAGGGUCCGCAGCAUGGGGUCUCCAUCACAGGGACAGGCAGAGCCCCAGCAGGACCCCCUCUGCCCACUGCCUUUCAGGGCACGGCUGCCUCUCUUUGGCGGCAGACGCCCUCUGUGUGGCCUCCCUGGCCUUGCUCAGGGACAUGCAUGACUGGCCUGUGCCCAGGUGGCAGGAGCCUGUCCCUCUGCUUCCUGUGGAGCUGCUCCCUUCACCGAUGGGGACACAGGGGCCUGCGCCACUGUCCCCCACGUCCACCCUCUGGCCUGGCCUCCCUCGGGUUCCAAGGCAGGCCCAGCUAUGGAUCAGCCGUCUGCUUCCUGGGUCUGCCACGUGGGCCGGGCCCUCGCUGGGGCCCCAGAGGCCUGGCAUGCUGGGUGCCGGGGUGGAGGGCUCCUCUAAGGGUGACCCACAGGGCCUCCCGAGCCACAUCCCUGCCAUGCCCGAGUCAGUGUCUCUCAGGGUCCCUGCCCUCUCCCAGGGACCGGCCACCAAGGCCACUCGGAGCGGGCCCUGAGCUCGGACGCGGCAGAUGGAGAGUCCAGCCCGGCCCAGCCACCCCAGCACCAGUGCCUGCCCCGCACCCCCUGCACCCCUGUCACGCACAGAGCUCGCAGAGCAGCCCCUUCCUUUUGGCAGCUGAGUGAGCUUUCCCAAGCAGCUGUCGCUGGCCACCCCGGGGUGUGGACAACCUCCUGCACAGCUGGCCUGUGCCCCGCCACGUGGCUUGCUGACCUCUCUCCUCUCUCUCUGUCUCUGUCUGUGCCUCUCCUGUGUGUUCUUAGAGGGACGUAGCAAAUUUAACAGCCAGUGAUGUCAUGAAUCGGGUAAACCUGGGAUAUUUGCAAGGUAAUUCUGCCCUGGCAGACAGACUGCUGCACGGGGAUGCGCCAGCUGUGCCGCCCCAGCGGCCAGGCAGUGAGCGGCAGGAGAGAUGAGAGGAGGCGGCCCCUCCUCCCGGUCAGGCAGCUUGGGCACCCCUGCUGGACCUCGUGUGUGGUAUGUGCCCACCGGCCCGAGCCCUUCCGCCCUGCUGCAGGGGAGCCUGGCCUCUGCCUGGCCCUGGUGGGGGACCUGUGUCCCCGACCCCAUGGCAUAGCUGCGGGAAGCCCAGGCUGGAACGCCCCGGGUGUGAGUGCAGGAUCUGGGGGCUGAGCUAGGUGGACGAGGCACCCACUCCCCACUGGGGCCUCGGGGGCAGGAUUCUGUUUGCUGAGACAAAGCUGGCCUAUGCCUCACUCUUCCUGGGUGCCCCACUGUGCCCCACUUUCUCCGGGGAGAUGCUGCAGACCCUGGCGCACCUCCAGGCCCUGGAGCUCAGUGGGAGAGUCCAGGCCUGCGCUCCUGGCAGCCCAAGGGCUCUGGGGCCUUACGGGGUGAGAAGGCAGGUGCUGCUCAGGUGGUGCCAUCUGCCAGGGCCUGUGGGCGGCCACAGGGUGAAGCUCAGCAGCUGCUCCCUGCUCUUGCCCCUUGCUCGCCCCACAGCCUGGCUCAUGGCAGAGCACCCUCUGCUGGGCACUGGGGCUCAGCCCAGCAUCGGCGGCUUCCACGGACUGGCGCUCCCUCGUGCCUGGCUGUGCCACAUCCCCACAGCUCCUGGGAAGGGGUGGGCAGCUGUGGGCCUUGAGGGCACCAGGCUCAAGUGUCUGCACACGGUGUCUCCUGGGCACUGCCUGUGUACUUGCAUAGGGGAGGUGCUGGGGUCCAGGUUGGGCGGCUGUAGCAGCACGCCAUGAGCAGAUGGCUGCUGGUGCCUGGGCCAGGACAGAAAGCAGGGGAGUCAGUCCUGCUGGAGGGGGCCUACAGGGUGGGCCUCACUGUCAGGCCUCUGUGCAGAUGAGGCAGAAGUGGGAGCAAAGCAUCCAUCACAGGACAGGUGGCUGGGUGGGGACUGGAUGCCCAGGGUGGGUGAGUCCCCCGCCUGGGGAGGCAGGAGCUUGAAGCGGUGAGAAGAGCCUGGUGGGCUGGGCGCGCGGGUGCAGGCACAGGGGUCCAGUGGGUGCUGUUCCCCAGAGCUGGGCCAGCCCCGCCCCUGCCUGCCCCGGGCGUGGACAGGGCUGGCCCUCAGGCACAGCACAGAACUCUAGCCAGCCCAGCCUUCAGCACACGUGCUGUGCCAGUCCUGGAAAUGCCCUGGCUUGUCCUCAAGGGCGCAGGCUGAUGGGCACACGGGGGGCUGGGCACACUGGUGGUCCUCAUUUCCAUGGCCCCAGCUGUGUGCCUGUUGCAGCAUGGUGCCCUGCCAGUGGCUGCAGUCUGAGUACAGGGCUGCAUGGGGCUCACAGUCCUGGGGCCCACACCUCCCACAUGGGGGGCCAGCGAAGGCCCUGAGGAAACCUGGCUGUGGCCAGAGUCGCUGUGCAUGGAGGACAGAAGGAGACCCCGUGCUGCGGAGAAGCAGGAUGGUCAGGCCAACUCUCCCAGUCAGGGAGGGACGCUGGCUCCAGCUGACCCACCCAGGCUCUCCGAGACCCCAGCACCAGAAGCCACACCCCUGACAGACCAGGAGGAGGGGGCGCAGCCCACCUGGCAGGCAGCCACAGCUUCCUCGGCCUUGCAGAGAUCCUGGCCCCCAGGGCUGCAUGGCAGCACAGUCCCCGGGGCGAGGACAUGCAGGGGACUGAAGCUGGAGGGGUCAGAGAAGAGGAUGUCCUUUUGCCUUAGAUAGCAUGCGGGUAAAGCCGAGGCCAGUGGGCUCAAGGCCACACCUCUGUCCCUGGGUCCCCAGGGUCCCCUGCUGGCCGAGUGCAGAUGUCUGGAGAGGUGACCAGAGCUCCUCCGAAGCCAUCCUCGGCCUGUGGGCAGCACCACGGCCACCCUGCAGGCCGGGCACAGGCCCCGCAAGAGAGUCCUGUUCUUGGAGCCAUGAGCUCAGUGAGUGCCCUGGGCUGAGGGCCGCUCGGGACCAGGGUCCUCAACAAAGGCCCGAGCCUGGGGACAGUGCCACUGCAGGGCGCCAGGAAGGCUGGGGCACUGUAUGUGAAGGUGCACAGGUGUGCGCAGGGGAGCUGUGUCUGCAGCGUGCGGCCGUGCCGAUGUGUGCGGGGCGUGCAGGCCUGCUCCUUGCCUCUGGUCAGGCCCACCCUGCGGCAGCGCCCCUGCUGGCUGCCUGGGCUGGGUGGGCCGCAGGCUGGAUGGCGGCUGACCCGUCCAGGGCAGCAAGGGCCGAGGGACAGGUGUGGCAGGCUGGCUGGGAAGAGCCCUGCUGCCCUGGCUCCGGUGCCCGCCGUGGACGGGGCAGGCGGUGAUGCUGCCCGGCUGCGUCCUUUGCAGAUGAGAUGAACGAUCAGCAGAACACGCUGUCCUACGUCCUCAUCAACCCUCCACCCGACACGCGGCUGGAGCCCAACGACAUUGUGUACCUCAUCCGCUCCGACCCCCUGGCCCACAUGGCCAGCAGCUCCCCGAGCCACAAGAGCAGCUGCAGCAACAAACUGUCCUCCUGCAACCCCGAGACCGUGACGAGACCCAGCUCUGAGGCUGGGACCUGGGCUGGGCCCUGAAGGGCCGCAGCAAGGAUGCAGGAGGGGCGGCCAGGCACUGCUCUGGCCACAGCCGUUCAUGGUGGCUCCUGGGACAUGGCUCCGUGGGGGUAGGCCUCGCUGCAGGCCGGAGGGGGGUCUCCACACUACCCUGGAGGCUGCCAGGAAGUGGUUUUUAAGCUGUUUUUACAAAUCUGUGACCCAUGUCUUCACAGCUGUGCCGAAACUCGUGACCAGGACCGGCCAAGGUGAAGGGGUGGGUGGCCGGGAGGGGACAGCCGGGGACUGGACACCACCAGAGUCCUCUGCCCUGCAAGGCCACAUCUGGGCGCUGCCAGAGGACAGAGGCCGGGAGGGGAAGGGCGCCCCCUGGGGCCCAGUGCAGGAAGCCCCAUGGCCCGCACAAGGGCUGCCCAGCAGGCUCAAGGCCAUCCAGGCUCCUGCAGGGCUUGGCCUGUGGCAUCUGUCGGCAACAAGGGCGCCCUCUGCUGUGGCUGAGCCCACGACUCUGCAGAAGUCAGAAGAAUUUCCUAUUUUUACACCAAGACUUCCCUCCUGCCUCUUGGGCACAGGGGCAGACAUGGCCUCUCUGUGGCCCACCCCACACUCUCCUAAAGCGAAGCCUUGUUCCUGAACGCCCGGCACAAGAAGCACAAUUCGCCCUGGGUGCUGCCUGCUGCCCUCAGCCUCCAGUCUCCUCCAGGGCAGAGGCCCAGGACCACAGUCACUGCCAGUGUCCCUGGGAUGCCCCUCGGCCAGCGCCUGGUAAUCCCUGCGCUCUGCAGGCUGCAUGUUCCAAGGCAGCUGCCCAGGGGACUUGGGGCUCUGGGCCCAGGGGCUGGAGGACACCGGGGCUCACUUGUUUCACUUAAAAAUGCCCGCCAUGGUCCCCACGACCUAGGCCCGGCCAACACGGCGCUCCAAACUGUGGGCAUCAAACCCUGUGUGGCAGAUUGGCAGCUUGGCUGAGGCGGGUGCCCAGUGUCCAGGAGGUUCCCUGGGGCGGGAGACCCAGGCCUGAGGGUGGGCGCGGCUCCUCGGACCCACAGCUGCUGGGGACCUGUCCACUGGGGGGCAGGGCUGUGUACCUCACCUGUGUCCAUUUUGGGUACCCCAAGAGGCUGGGGUGGAAGGGAAGGGCAAGCAGCUCAGGGACAGCAGGGCCCUUCCGGGGACACGCCCCUCCCCACCGGGACACGCCCCCUGGGCGGGACACGCCCCCGGCCAGGACACGCCCAGGGCCAGACUGCCUUCCACAGCACCGGACACAGCUUGUGCCCCUAUCCUGGCCUGCCUGGUGCCUGCUCAGAAAGUGCCUAGAGGUCCUAAGUGCAGCAUUCUUGGGGACAGAAGGACAGGCAGAGAGGGGCCCUGUGGCAUCAGGACGAGGAAGCCCUUGGCCUUGAAGUGGCAAGCACCCAGCCUGGGCAGGGGAGGCCAGCCCUGUCCUGGCUGGGCUCCAGCCUCCUGCACUGGAGCAGGCCGAGCUUGCCUUGCCCAGGCGGCUCAGUGCCCUCGGCCGCGCCUCCUGCACCCAGGCUCCAGCCCCCUGUGCAGCCACCUGCCUGGCUGUGGGACCCCCUGGAAGGGCUGCUGUCCCUGGGUGGCACCUGGGGGGACGUCCUCCGCCUCGGGUUUGGGCUACAGCACGUGGCCAAGUGCGGCAGCAUCCUCCUAGUCUCUGGCAGGGCCGGGUCUGCCUCCCACAGGUGUGCGUGCCCAGGAUCUCGGCUGCUGAGGGUGUCAGGCCCUGGACAGGGUACCCUGCUCUGCCAGAACACACGGGGGCAGUGCUUGGGGUGCCCCCGCACUGGGCCAGGGGUCGCUGUCCUGAGACGUUGGUCACCAGCCCAAUAAAAGCUGCCUGU
rnacentral:lncRNA from 1 species